rnacentral:rRNA from 1 species
AGUGAACGCUGGCGGUAGGCCUAACACAUGCAAGUCGAACGGCAGCACAGUAAGAGCUUGCUCUUACGGGUGGCGAGUGGCGGACGAGUGAGGAAUACAUCGGAAUCUACUUUUUCGUGGGGGAUAACGUAGGGAAACUUACGCUAAUACCGCAUACGACCUACGGGUGAAAGCAGGGGAUCUUCGGACCUUGCGCGAUUGAAUGAGCCGAUGUCGGAUUAGCUAGUUGGCGGGGUAAAGGCCCACCAAGGCGACGAUCCGUAGCUGGUCUGAGAGGAUGAUCAGCCACACUGGAACUGAGACACGGUCCAGACUCCUACGGGAGGCAGCAGUGGGGAAUAUAGGACAAUGGGCGCAAGCCUGAUCCAGCCAUACCGCGUGGGUGAAGAAGGCCUUCGGGUUGUAAAGCCCUUUUGUUGGGAAAGAAAAGCAGCAGGUUAAUACCCCGCUGUUCUGACGGUACCCAAAGAAUAAGCACCGGCUAACUUCGUG